GCAGAUUAGAAAAGGAGAUGGAACUUGUUCCCCCUACUUAAAAGCAGGGGAGAGAAAAGCCUUGUGAAGAGAAGACACAAAACCUGUUUGGUGACUUGUCCUUUCAAUGAAAACACAAACCUCUCCAGCAGGUGCAGGCCCUGGAAGACAAGGGAGGAGCCUGUGAGCCACCGGCCCACGUGAAAGUAAAUGCAUGAAGUUCCCUCUCGCUGAACUGAAAAGAGCCUCAACCUGGACCUGACACCAACUUCGCCGGUGCUGCCUGGCUGGUUGCUCUAGCGCCCUGAAGGAGAGGAAUGCAGUCAUAUUUCACUGUGAUUUUCAGUGUCAUUUCCACGAAGACUAAUGAUGUUGAGCUUUUUUUUCUCCAUAAUACAGGAAAGAGACCCAAACCCAUGAAGAAUGAGAUACAUGUACAGUUUUGAUUAUAAAACCAAAGAAUAAUGGCUUCACAAGAUGACGGCUGGGCUCCUGG
rnacentral:lncRNA from 10 species